UGGCCUUAGGGUGAGGAUGGAGAAUAAAGAGUUCGGAGCCAGAAAUAAAGAAGGAUGAGGAUCAGUCGGGAUAAGACAACAUAACAAAGCAAAACUAAUAAUCAGUUGGAUAGAGUUCGGAACCAGUUGAGCAGGACAAAGACCGUAAUAGUCAAGAAGAUUUCGGACGAACUCCGAAAUCAAAAAUCAAAGAUCAGUUCGAAGGUCCUCGACAUAGAAUGUAAUCUGAUCUGGAGGAGGAGAGUUCAACCGACCAUUCGGACCA
rnacentral:lncRNA from 1 species